AUCCGAGCGUCCGUGAACAUGAAUCUGAUUGGCUGGGAGGAUCUUUAAACUACAAGGCGGAAGGAUUUGGAGAUGCAAAAAUGACAACAGAAGUCGAGUUUCUUCGAGAUCAAGUGAAUCGUUUAAACUCCGUCCUGGGUCGAUAUCAGGAUGAAUUUCCUCCUCCCUCCUCAGUGUC